UACGUAGGAUGCAAGCGUUGUCCGGAAUUAUUGGGCGUAAAGAGCGCGCAGGCGGUCUAUCAAGUCAGAUGUGAAAUAUCCCGGCUUAACCGGGAGGGGUCAUUUGAAACUGGUAGACUAGAGUACAGCAGAGGAUAGCGGAAUUCCCGGUGUAGUGGUGAAAUGCGUAGAUAUCGGGAGGAACACCAGUGGCGAAGGCGGCUAUCUGGGCUGAAACUGACGCUGAGGCGCGAAAGCGUGGGGAGCAAACAGGG
rnacentral:rRNA from 1 species